UUUUGUUUUGUUUUAAAAAAUGUGGUAAAAUAGACACCUUUUAAUUGGACCACAUUUUGUCUAUCUCGACGUAGGCCUCAGUGUCAUCAAGGAGACUCUGCUUGACAUGCAGUCAAGGCCAUGAUCCAUCUUCAGAGCUUCUCUUUCUUCCCCAAGGCUGGCGCUGAGAUGGGCAGGUGCUGCAGCAGCCCCGCUGGAAGCGAUGCAGCAUCCAGGACGACGGAGGAAGGGGCGGAGAGGGACCUCUGCUUUCCAGGCUGCCUUUUAUACUGCCUCUGGUCACCUGACAUGGAACGUACCCUAACCUAAUCAGUUACCUGUACCUUAAUUGCAAUUAACUUAAUCCAAUUACAUGACCUGGAAAGGUCUAUCUGCACAGCCCACUCUAAGAUCCUGUCCACUGCUGACAGACAUUCUAAAACCUACUUGUACAGCUGCAAGCUUUGAACAAUAGAUGUUCCCCGUCAGACAUGUAACACUGGUGCCUGUAUCCCUGUCUUCUUUUCCAUCUUUUUUGUUGUUUUGUUUUGUUUCGUUUUAAAAAAUGUGGUAAAAUAGACACCUUUUAAUUGGACCACAUUUUGUCUCUCUCGACGUAGGCCUCAGUGUCAUCAAGGAGACUCUCCUUGACAUGCAGUCACGGCCAUGAUCCAUCUUCAGAGCUUCUCUUUCUUCCCCAAGGUAAGUCUGUCAGCAGAGAACCCUGACCGCACCCUCAUGUGUUUUCUCCCCCAGGAGGCGCUUGGAAACCACCGUGAAUUGGACCGCACUGGGAAACACAGAUGAGGAAAGUCAACAACGCUUUGUCCUUCAGUGCCUGCCUCCUUUUUCAGCUCGUCUUGCGACUCCCGGACGCCUGUGAGGCUGUAAUUCCCUGGGUCCCAUUGCCAUGUCUCUGGAUUUGCGAAGAUCCACCGCACCUUCUGUGGAACUCCCGUGUCGGUGAACUUUUGUGCCACGGCCCCUAAUUCUGCCCAUGGUCAUCCGCACCUGCACGACUUAGGGUCCAUGUUCCUUGGACGGGAAGAGACAGGCAGGAGUCGGAAUGAUGAACCAGCACACUGGGGCGUUUUCUCAUGUAGCCCAAGUGACCCCAUGGUCUUCUCGAGCUUUGGAACCAGUCGCGUCCCCUUUGACACUGCACCCGGCUCCCAGUCUCUCAAUCUUGUUGGCCCUCCGGCGAUCUCCCGUUGGAUGAAUUGCUCCUGCUGAAACUCCAGUCCCCUUUGAUUUGCGCUUCAUUAAUUAUUCAUGAUUCAGGUUGGAAGGCCUGCUGACGACCCCCUGUGGCCGUUCUCUGAGCUUUCCUGUCACAUCGUUUCCUUCCACGCUCUUUGGUUCCUUAUGGUCCUGCUCCCUCUGCUGU
rnacentral:lncRNA from 1 species